CUGGGUCUCAGGUCAGGUUUGCAAAGGAACAACACGGACCUAUCCUCCUUCUCCUCUUCCUCCAGCCUAAAUGGACUCCAGCCAGCUCAGUGUCACUGCUGCCAUCCUUAGAGAGGGCUUUUCCCACCUUCACAUAAUCAGGAGGCUCCUUUCUUCCCGCAGGAGCCCAUCAGUCGAAGUGCACGGCUGCUUCUCGCAGAGAGCCCUCUUACCCAUCAAGGGAAGAUAAUGCUCUGUGAUCAUUUUGGCUUUUCCAGGCUUCGUGUUCUCUCUCUCCUUUCUGCCCCAGCGGAAAACGUAGGGCUGCUAUUUUAGGACAUCCUUUAGUACCAAAAUACCACUUUGAGACACUCAUGUCUUUGCUUUCAAUAAUCUCUUUUAAGGUAUAAAGAAAUUACCAGGAGGGGCACGUGGUGGCUGCCUAUGGGAAGCAAGCUAAACGGCUGCUCAGAGACCCUUCUGGUAUUCCUGCUGUGCCAGGACGUCAGUACUUUCCAACUCAUGAUUCUGAGGCUGGUGGAUCUUCCUUGUCUUCUUCCAUCUCUCAUCUUCAAUGUCCUUGGCUGGAGACUAAGGGAAGGCAUAAUGGGGAGCCCAGGCUUCAUGCAGAUGGAACACCAGCAUGAGAAAGGAAAGGCAAAUACUGGCCAUGUGGACAAGAAAGCAAGACAGAAGAACAGUCAGUGAAAAUACCUUUCCCUACCAUGACCAAUACCAUUGAGCCUAUAGCUGAAGGUAGCAUUAGGGGUGGGUGUCUAGUAAUAUCAUACAAACUAACAGACAUUUGGGUGAAUAAAUCAUGAGCAGAGUCCCCCACAAUCUGCCUUUCUAACGAUAAUUAGUAUUUACUGAGUGCUAUAUGUCAGGUCCAGUUUUAAUCCGUUUACAAGAUUCAGUUCAUUUGCUGCUGGCAACGAUCCUAUAGCAUAAGAACCAUUGUUACCCUGUAUUUACGAAGAGGAAAUCAGAGCUCAGAGAGGGUGAGCCACUUGCCCACUAUCACACAGCUCAUGAGUGGUAGAGCUGGGACUCAGACCCAAGCCUGACCCCAGAACCUGAGCUCAUAACCUCUCCUUGGAUGGGUUCUUCCAAGGAGUUUGCCUCCAAUAAACUGUGUCCCAUGCCAGCUAGGCACCAGCAUAUGCUUUGGAGAAACCAACUCCCAUAGACAUCUGUCUAGAUGGUGCUGAUAUUAUAAAUGGUAUUAUGAAAAAAUAAGGAUAUAGCUUAUAAAUCAGGCAAAGGGAAGUUAUGAUUCUUCUGGACACCCUAAUCUAUCUCCCUAUAAUUGCCUGUAUAUGAAAUGCCUGCAUGAGGUUAUCAGAGUAUUCCGAGUCGCCUGCGAAGGUAAGAUUGCAGUUUUAGCGACCCUUGUUACACAAACCAAAGCAAUCUGUUCUAUUUUGACACUAUGACACUCCUGGCUUGCAAAAGGGAUGGAGGCAUGGACGGGCAGGCAUUUGUCCACAUUCUUGUUCCAAACGAAAGUAAGAAGGGUUAACUGUGAGGCAUGCUUACUGCAAAUGACAGCUCUGGCUUCUAACUAUACUAAGCAGUGGCCAGCGGUCUUGGGGAUACUUAAGAGAAAACCACAGCUCCAUUUCUUUAACCCAUCUUUAACCUUUAGUUCUAGAAAUCCUAAUUAAAAAUCAAUUCCAUUUUUUUUUUUGUAGUAAAUCUGACAGUAAUUCUAUCUCUAAUGGCAGUGGAAAGACAAAUAGUAUGUCAGGUAAACUCAGCAGGAAAAUGACAUUUUCAUUAGCAAUUUACUGGGUAGGAAAUUCCCACCAUGAUAAAGCAUUCCUGAACAAUACUAGGUAACCAUUCCCCUAGGGCAGCUGCUAAUUAAUGGGGGAACACCAGUGGGAUUAAAUGUCUUCUACCCAAAUGAUGUGAAAGGUCACAGCAGUUAUUUUGAAUGUACCUGCACCGAGAAAAUAAGUCGGGCCCCAAAACAAUAAACAAAGUGACAUAACAAGACGAUUGCAGCCUACUGCAGUCCAGAAAAAUCUAAUCUGGUCUCCUAACAGCAUUGCAAUCUUUAUUGUGACUGUAUGGGCCCCAAUUCAUCAGCCCAUUUCGGCAAGCUAUCCCCACCAAUAAUCAUUCACUUUCAGGGUAGCCUCUGAACAGGUAUGGACUUUAGAGACUAGCAAUUCAUCCCGGGUCCUCUAUCCCUCCAUCGAGAUUCUUCGGCAGUCUUUGAAGCAGACUUGGAAAGAAAAAUUUGGUCCUUAUGUGCUAGACCCCCAGAGAGCCUCCAGGGAUAAAGAAAAAAGAAGACAAGCAAAAUUCUCCAUUCAAAAGGAGAAUAAAAUCCUGGCAUCACAUUUUGUCCCUCCUAAACCUCAAUAAUGUUCCCAGUGAUCAGUCAAAUCAAGGUAGAAUCAUGAAGUAUUAGUAAGAAAAGGGAUGAUUUCCAACAUGAAGGAUGUGGACAGGACUAUAGACCCUGGUCAAAGCACCGUGAUGAGGAAUCCUACUUGGCUAGAUUUUACUAUGGAGUCAUAAUUUCAGCCCACAGAAAA
rnacentral:lncRNA from 1 species